GCCGAGUGGCCCCUCUGGGUUUAGCGUUUUAUAUUGAGUGCAGACAGUGACUUCUGGGUUCCCGUGUCCUGCAAGAGUUUAGACCCUGCGGGGACCCGGAGAGGGAAAAAGCAAGUUGCUUCCCAGCCCAGAACCUGCAAAGCUGCCAGAUGUACAGUCACCUGUGUGGAAACCAAAAUCUCACCGGUUAGAAACUCAGACCCCCGUCCCCGCUCCUGGGCUGAUAAAUCAAAUAAAUCUCCGCGGCGAGGACCCAGAAUCUGGAUUUAACCAGAUCCUGAACCUCUGGGGACUGCUGCGUAAGAACUUGAACUUGACAGACUUCACCCCCCCACACACCUCCAAUGGGUGAAAUGGAUGAAAGGGGUCGGAAGUUCAUUUGCCAUAGAUGUCCAAAAGGAAAACUGCUUUGUCAAAAGAGUUCUUCAACAACAUCUGGAAGAACAUGCCACUAAUACAAGUACACAGAUAUCAACAUAAGAAAUCAAGGAUCAUGAAAAG